CAUGUCUUUCCGGAGAGGGGGCCUUGCUAGUAGUCCCUGCUUUGAUGGACUUGUUGCGCCUCUACCUGCUCUCUGAGUCAGUGGCUUGAGCAACACAAGUUUCUCUCAUGACGGCCUGCUAUGGAAUUUCUUACCAGCAGAUGGCGCUCUAUCCCACGAUGCUGCAGGAGCCCGUGGUCUUUCAUCACGUGGUUCUUUGGUUUCCAGGAGUCUGGAUGCCUCUUUAUUUAGUAGGCAGAAGAGGAGAAAGAACAGGGUAGGGGCACAGAUACUUCCUAGGAGUGUGGCAGCUCCCACCAUCCAUUAGUGAGAACUUGCGCUUUGGGUCAUUGAAUCAGAGAGGCCAGGAAGUGCAGGCCAGCUGUGUGCAGAGAGAGGAAAACAGAAAACAGAAGUGGGUGGACAGCAGGUAAACUCUACCACAGACUGCUCCCUUUCCUGGCCCCCAGGUCCCCGACUGUGUCUGGCGCUCCCUUUCCGCUGCCAAACACACUAGUGUGCUGGGGGCCCCAACUCUGCAGCAAGUCUCUGUGUGCUUUUUCUCAAGGUCUGGCCAUUGAUGAACUAGAAAGUCAGAUGAUUCCAUCACCCUUGUCCCUAAGAUGCAGGAGGGGAGUGAGGACAGAAUAACAUUUCCCUGCCUGUCUGGACAGUGCCGAUUGGCAGACACAGAUACGGAGGUGGGAAAUCUCACCGUGAAGGCAACGUGAGGAUGGCCACGGGGCUCGCCUGGUUUCUGUGGUUUGCGGGCCAUCUCUAGCAUCCUGUGCUUCUGCUACAUAACUCUGACCUUGUCUUUCAUCUUCUAACAGAGUUUUUGUCAUUUCUAACCUUCAUACAUAUUGUCUGUCUCUUAGAACAGCAGGAAUAUACCACAAAGACAAGAGAGGUUUACCUGCUUUGUGCAGUGAGGCACUCAGCACCCAGAGCAGAGCUGGGCAUCCAGCAUGCACUCAUCAAACAUCUGUUGAAUGAGUGACUUGAAAGUGUCUGGUCCCUCCUGCAAAAUGGGCACCAGGCCAUGUUCUUAGGGGCUACAUCUAAGCAGAACGGCCUGGAGCUACCCUGACCUGGUUUGAGUCCCAGAGCUGGGACCCUCUGAAGCUGAGGUCAGUGACUUCAUCUGGGACCCUGUGAAGCUGAGGGAAUCCCGGUUGGGCCUGUGUCAGGAAUUCCCUGGAGGAUCUGGAGCAGCUGCUGGGAGAACAUUCCACGACCUAUAGGGAGGGAGGACACCCCUUGUCUUGAUCCAGGCCUCUGUCUGCCCCACCCAAUGAAUGGCCAGGGGAGGUGUUGCCCUGGGGUCAGGAAAAGCCCCUCAAAGAGAGCAGCUCUGGCAGAACUGCACAUGCGUUCCUUGUAUGUGGGCCACACGCACUGCUGAUGUGAAGAAGCUCAAUCAAGGGACCUCAUUGGAGCUGCAUCUGUGACAAACCCUCUCCCUCCACAUGCACCUGAUUGUGAUGGAAUAAUAAUUUCAGUGGGUGGUACUUGUCACAAGUAACCAUUGAGACAGAAGCAACAUGGAAGAGUGUUCAAGGUAUUUCAGCUAUGUUCUCUCCCCUGCAGGAAUGUUAG